rnacentral:rRNA from 1 species
UACGAAGGGGGCUAGCGUUGUUCGGAUUUACUGGGCGUAAAGCGCACGUAGGCGGAUCGUUAAGUCGGGGGUGAAAUCCUGGAGCUCAACUCCAGAACUGCCUUCGAUACUGGCGAUCUUGAGUCCGGAAGAGGUUAGUGGAACUGCGAGUGUAGAGGUGAAAUUCGUAGAUAUUCGCAAGAACACCAGUGGCGAAGGCGGCUGACUGGUCCGGUUCUGACGCUGAGGCGCGAAAGCGUGGGGAGCAAACAGG